GUCCCGUUAGCUCAGCUGGUAGAGCACUUGACUUUUAAUCAAGGUGUCAAAGGUUCGAAUCCUUUACGGGACA
rnacentral:tRNA from 1 species